GACGAAGGAUGCAAGCGUUAUCCGGAUUCAUUGGGUUUAAAGGGUGCGUAGGCGGACUUGUAAGUCAGUGGUGAAAUCUCUCAGCUUAACUGAGAAACUGCCAUUGAUACUGCAGGUCUAGAGUAUAGAUGACGUUGGCGGAAUACGACAUGUAGAGGUGAAAUUCUUAGAUAUGUCGUGGAACACCGAUUGCGAAGGCAGCUAACGAAACUAUAACUGACGCUGAGGCACGAAAGUGCGGGGAUCAAACAGGAUUAGAUACCCUGGUAGUCCGCACCGUAAACGAUGAUUACUCGUUGUUGGCGAUAUGACAGUCAGCGACCAAGCGAAAGCGAUAAGUAAUCCACCUGGGGAGUACGCCGGCAACGGUGAA
rnacentral:rRNA from 1 species